rnacentral:rRNA from 1 species
CGAUGCGAUACGCAUUGUGAAUUGCAGAUUUCAGUGAACCAUUAGAUUUCCGAACGCAUAUGGCGCUGUAGGGACUUCCCUGCAGCACGUCUGUUUCAGUGUCUUU